GAUGAAGAACGUAGCGAAAUGCGAUAAGUAAUGUGAAUUGCAGAAUUCAGUGAAUCAUCGAAUCUUUGAACGCACAUUGCGCCCCCUGGUAUUCCGGGGGGCAUGCCUAUCCGAGCGUCAUUACAACCCUCAAGCUCAGCUUGGUGUUGGGCCCCGCCGCCCCGGCGGGCCCUAAAGUCAGUGGCGGUGCCGUCCGGCUCCGAGCGUAGUAAUUCUUCUCGCUCUGGAGGUCCGGUCGUGUGCUCGCCAGCAACCCCCAAUUUUUUUCAGGUUGACCUCGGAUCAGGUAGGGAUACCCGCUGAACUUAAGCAUAUCAAUAAGCGGAGGA
rnacentral:misc_RNA from 1 species